rfam:Oryctolagus cuniculus cont2.67665, whole genome shotgun sequence.
CUGUGCCUCCUGAUUGCUGAGUGUUCACGUGGACCUUCUGAUCACCUUCCUCGUGCUGUUCCAUCGGCCCACAGAUCUGGUACCUGGAUUCUUGCCCAUAGUGAUUUCUACCACCUUACUACUGAUGAAGACACCAUUCCAGUGGACCACUGUGAUCCAGGAGGCGUGCAGCCAUCGUGAUGUGGCCUUUACCUCCACUCCUGUCCUGUUCUACCCAGAUUCAGCACAGCCUUUUA